CAUCAUAAUAGCAGAUGAUCUGACAUUUUUAAAGGAAUGUAAGGAGGCAAUAAAACGGACUAGCUACACUGCUCCUGAAACAGAAUAUCCAAAAAAGGCACUUAUAGAUGUGCU